rnacentral:rRNA from 1 species
GAUGAACGCUGGCGGCGUGCCUAAUACAUGCAAGUCGAGCGAACGGACGAGAAGCUUGCUUUUCUGAUGUUAGCGGCGGACGGGUGAGUAACACGUGGAUAACCUACCUAUAAGACUGGGAUAACUUCGGGAAACCGGAGCUAAUACCGGAUAAUAUUUUGAACCGCAUGGUUCAAAAGUGAAAGACGGUCUUGCUGUCACUUAUAGAUGGAUCCGCGCUGCAUUAGCUAGUUGGUAAGGUAACGGCUUACCAAGGCAACGAUGCAUAGCCGACCUGAGAGGGUGAUCGGCCACACUGGAGCUGAGACACGGUCCAGACUCCUACGGGAGGCAGCAGUAGGGAAUCUUCCGCAGUGGGCGAAAGCCUGACGGAGCAACGCCGCGUGAGUGAUGGAGGUCUUCGGAUCGUAAAACUCUGUUAUUAGGGAAGAACAUAUGUGUAAGUAACUGUGCACAUCUUGACGGUACCUAAUCAGAAAGCCACGGCUAACUACGUG